AGCCUACGGGACGCAGCAGUAGGGAAUCUUCCACAAUGGACGAAAGUCUGAUGGAGCAACGCCGCGUGAGUGAAGAAGGGUUUCGGCUCGUAAAGCUCUGUUGGUAGUGAAGAAAGAUAGAGGUAGUAACUGGCCUUUAUUUGACGGUAAUUACUUAGAAAGUCACGGCUAACUACGUGCCAGCAGCCGCGGUAAUACGUAGGUGGCAAGCGUUGUCCGGAUUUAUUGGGCGUAAAGCGAGCGCAGGCGGGUUAAAAA
rnacentral:rRNA from 1 species